rnacentral:rRNA from 1 species
CGUAUGCAACCUGCCUACAACAGGGAAUAACCGUUGAAAGACGGGCUAAUACCCCAUAACACAGGGAUCCCGCAUGGGAAUAUUUGUUAAAGAUUUAUCGGUUGUAGAUGGGCAUGCGUUCCAUUAGCUUGUUGGUGAGGUAACGGCUCACCAAGGCAACGAUGGAUAGGGGAACUGAGAGGUUUAUCCCCCACACUGGUACUGAGACACGGACCAGACUCCUACGGGAGGCAGCAGUGAGGAAUAUUGGUCAAUGGACGCAAGUCUGAAAACCCAGCCACGUCGCGUGAAGGAAGACCGGCCCUACGGGUUGUAAACUUCUUUUGUAAGGGAAUAAAGUGUAGUACGUGUACUAUUUUGCAUGUACCUUACGAAUAAGGAUACGGCUAACUCCGUGCCAGCCGCCGC